rnacentral:rRNA from 1 species
AGCGAACGCUGGCGGCAGGCCUAACACAUGCAAGUCGAACGAAGCCUUCGGGCUUAGUGGCGGACGGGUGAGUAACACGUGGGAACGUACCUUUUGGUUCGGAAUAACGCAGAGAAAUUGGCGCUAAUACCGAAUGAGCCCUUCGGGGGAAAGAUUUAUCGCCGAAAGAUCGGCCCGCGUUGGAUUAGGUAGUUGGUGUGGUAAAGGCGCACCAAGCCUACGAUCCAUAGCUGGUCUGAGAGGAUGAUCAGCCGCACUGGGACUGAGACACGGCCCAGACUCCUACGGGAGGCAGCAGUGGGGAAGCUUGCGCAAUGGGCGAAAGCCUGACGCAGCCAUGCCGCGUGAAUGAUGAAGGUCUUAGGAUUGUAAAAUUCUUUUACCAGGGACGAUAAUGACGGUACCUGGAGAAAAGGCCCCGGCUAACUUCGUGCCAGCCGCCGCCGUAAAAC